GAGUUUGAUCCUGGCUCAGAUUGAACGCUGGCGGCAGGCCUAACACAUGCAAGUCGAGCGGUAGAGAGAAGCUUGCUUCUCUUGAGAGCGGCGGACGGGUGAGUAAUGCCUAGGAAUCUGCCUGGUAGUGGGGGAUAACGCUCGGAAACGGACGCUAAUACCGCAUACGUCCUACGGGAGAAAGCAGGGGACCUUCGGGCCUUGCGCUAUCAGAUGAGCCUAGGUCGGAUUAGCUAGUUGGUGAGGUAAUGGCUCACCAAGGCGACGAUCCGUAACUGGUCUGAGAGGAUGAUCAGUCACACUGGAACUGAGACACGGUCCAGACUCCUACGGGAGGCAGCAGUGGGGAAUAUUGGACAAUGGGCGAAAGCCUGAUCCAGCCAUGCCGCGUGUGUGAAGAAGGUCUUCGGAUUGUAAAGCACUUUAAGUUGGGAGGAAGGGCAGUAAAUUAAUACUUUGCUGUUUUCGAGUUACCGACAGAGUAAGCACCGGCUAACUCUGUGCCAGCCGCCG
rnacentral:rRNA from 1 species